AUGCCCGCUAAUGAUUUGGAGGAAGUCAAGAAACAGAUUAAGGAGUUGCUAGAGAAAGGGUAUAUUCGCCCGAGUUCAUCACCUUGGGGAGCCCCAGUACUCUUAGUAGAGAAGAAGGAUGGAACCUUGAGGAUGUGUGUGGAUUACCGCUCUUUGAACGAGGUGACCAUCAAGAACAAGUAUCCCCUACCGAUGAUCAAUGACUUGUUUGACCAGCUAGAAGGAGCUAGUGUUUUCUCCAAGAUCGAUCUUUGA
rnacentral:rRNA from 1 species